rnacentral:rRNA from 1 species
CAGUCGCCGCGGUAAUACGUAGGUGGCAAGCGUUGUCCAGAAUUAUUGGGCGUAAAGGGCUCGCAGGCGGUUUCUUAAGUCUGAUGUGAAAGCCCCCGGCUCAACCGGGGAGGGUCAUUGGAAACUGGGAAACUUGAGUGCAGGAGAGGAGAGUGGAAUUCCACGUGUAGCGGUGAAAUGCGUAGAGAUGUGGAGGAACACCAGUGGCGAAGGCGACUCUCUGGUCUGUAACUGACGCUGAGGAGCGAAAGCGUGGGGAGCGAACAGGAUUAGAUACCCGUGUAGUCCCUGUCUCUUAUAC